rnacentral:rRNA from 1 species
AGCGUAGGCGGAUAGUUUAGUCAGAGGUGAAAGCCCAGGGCUCAACCUUGGAAUUGCCUUUGAUACUGGCUAUCUUGAGUGUGGGAGAGGUAUGUGGAACCCCGAGUGUAGAGGUGAAAUUCGUAGAUAUUCGGAAGAACACCAGUGGCGAAGGCGACAUACUGGCCCAUUACUGACGCUGAGGCUCGAAAGCGUGGGGAGCAAACA